UGCCUCGUAGUUCAACGGAUAGAACAAGAGUUUCCUAAACUUUAGAUAGAGGUUCGAUUCCUCUCGGGGCAACUA
rnacentral:tRNA from 1 species